GUGUGGAUCCCAAUGGGUGCACUGUGGGAACCGUCCUCUGCGGCGCUGUGUCCGAAGAGCGGCAGUCCUGGCAGCCGGAAUGGGGACAUCGGCACCGUAGGAGCGAUCCGACCCCAUAGUGCUGAUGCUUGGACAGCAGCAGCCCCAUAGGUGUGGGGCCGAGGAGGUCACUGUCUGCCCCGGGUGCAUCAAUCUCUCCAUCCUAAACUGCAGAGCGAAUGGUUUGGGUUUGUUGCAUCGGCUCUUUGGGUUCUGCACCACUGCAGUGCAGUGGGGCGGUCUGCUGCAUUGGUCCUUUGGGUUUUGCACCAUUGCAGUGCAGUGGGGUGUGUUUGCUGCAUGCAGUGUGUCUGUAGGACACGUUGUGGGUCAGACCUUUGGGUUUUGCACCGUUGCAAAGCCAAUGGAGUGUGUUUGCUGCACCCGGUGUGCCUGUGGGAUAUAUGUGGGUCCGCUCUUCGGGUACUGCACCAUUGCAAAGGCAAUGGGGUGGGUUUGUUGCAUUGGCCUUUGAUAUUCUGCAGCACUGCAACGUCAGUGGGGUGUGUUUGCUGCACCCAGUGUGGCUGUAGGACACCUGUGGGUCGUUCCUUUGGGUGUUGCACCAUUGCAAAGGCAAUGCGGUGGGUUUGUUGCACCUGGUGCAGCUGUAGGACACGUUGUGGGUCAGCCCUCUGUAUUUUGCACCAUUGCAAAGGCACUGGGGUGGGUUUGUUGCACCCGGUGUGGCUGUGGGAUAUAUGUGGGUCAACUCUUCAGGUAUUGCACCAUUGCAAAGGCAAUGGGGUGGGUUUGUUGCAUUGGCCUUUGAUAUUCUGCAGCACUGCAACGGCAGUGGGGUGUGUUUGCUGCACCCAGUGUGGCUGUAGGACACCUGUGGGUCGUUCCUUUGGGUGUUGCACCAUUGCAAAGCCAAUGGGGUGGGUUUGUGGCAUCGACUCUUCGGGUACUGCACCACUGCACAGUCAGUGGGGUGUGUUUGCUGCACCCGGUGCGCCUGUAGGAUAUAUGUGGGUCAGCUCUUUGGGUGUUGCACCAUUGCAAAGGCAAUGGUUUGGGUUUGCUGCACCUGGUGCAGCUGUAGGACACGUUGUGGGUCAGCCCUCUGUAUUUUGCACCAUUGCAAAGGCACUGGGGUGGGUUUGUUGCACCCGGUGUGGCUGUGGGAUAUAUGUGGGUCAGCUCUUCGGGUACUGCACCAUUGCAAAGGCAAUAGGGUGGGUUUGUUGUGUUGGUCCUUUGGGUUAUGGGUCAUCACAAAGCCAGUGGGGUGGGUUUGUGGCAUCGACCCUUUGGGUUUUGCACCAUUGCAACGUCAGUGGGGUGUGUUUGCUGCACCCGGUGCGUCUGUAGGACAUGUGUGGGUUGGGCCUUUGGGUGUUGCACCACUGCAAAGCCAAUGGGGUGGGUUUGUUGCAUUGGCCUUUGAUAUUCUGCAGCACUGCAACGGCAGUGGGGUGUGUUUGCUGCACCCAGUGUGGCUGUAGGACACCUGUGGGUCGUUCCUUUGGGUGUUGCACCAUUGCAAAGACAGUGGGGUGGGUUUGUUGCAUCGGCCCUUUGGGUUUUGCACCAUUGCACAGUCAGUGGGGUGUGUUUGCUGCACCCGGUGCGCCUGUAGGAUAUAUGUGGGUCAGCUCUUUGGGUGUUGCACCAUUGCAAAGGCAAUGGUUUGGGUUUGCUGCACCUGGUGCAGCUGUAGGACACGUUGUGGGUCAGCCCUCUGUAUUUUGCACCAUUGCAAAGGCACUGGGGUGGGUUUGUUGCACCCGGUGUGGCUGUGGGAUAUAUGUGGGUCAGCUCUUCGGGUACUGCACC
rnacentral:lncRNA from 1 species